rnacentral:rRNA from 1 species
AUACGGAGGAGGCUAGCGUUGUUCGGAAUUACUGGGCGUAAAGCGCGCGUAGGCGGUUUGCCAAGUCAGGCGUGAAAUCCCCGGGCUCAACCUGGGAACUGCGUUUGAUACUGGCAGACUAGAGGCCGGGAGAGGGUAGUGGAAUUCCCAGUGUAGAGGUGAAAUUCGUAGAUAUUGGGAAGAACACCGGUGGCGAAGGCGGCUACCUGGACCGGUUCUGACGCUGAGGUGCGAAAGCGUGGGGAGCAAACAGGAUUAGAAACCCCAGUAGUCC